rnacentral:rRNA from 1 species
AGAUUGAACGCUGGCGGCAGGCCUAACACAUGCAAGUCGAGCGGCAGCACGGGUACUUGUACCUGGUGGCGAGCGGCGGACGGGUGAGUAAUGCCUAGGAAUCUGCCUGGUAGUGGGGGAUAACGCUCGGAAACGGACGCUAAUACCGCAUACGUCCUACGGGAGAAAGCAGGGGACCUUCGGGCCUUGCGCUAUCAGAUGAGCCUAGGUCGGAUUAGCUAGUUGGUGAGGUAAUGGCUCACCAAGGCGACGAUCCGUAACUGGUCUGAGAGGAUGAUCAGUCACACUGGAACUGAGACACGGUCCAGACUCCGUACGGGAGGCAGCAGUGGGAAUAUUGGACAAGUGGGCGAAAGCCGUGAUCCGAGCCAGUCGCCGCGUGCAGGAUGAAGGUCCUUCGGUUGUAAACGUGUACGUUUUAGUAACGGAACGAAAAGUUCUUACGUUUAC